AAGAACGUUGGGCGCUCACAAAACACACCGACGUCAGCGCGUAGUAACCACGGAAACGAGCCCCGCAACGUCAUCGCUCUUUCUCCCUUCCCCUUCAGAAAUCGUUAGCCACGCAGGCGGCGGCGUCACCCGCUGAGGGGAGGAGGAGGAGGAGGCUCCCGGUUGUCAUAGCAGCUCAGGGAGGUGGGGCUCCGUUGCCAAAGCAGCAGGGAAGCUGAGUUUCCCCAGUCACUCUGGGCGGCUCCCAAUCGAGUGUUAAAAACAAUACAGCGUGUGUCCGCCUCACAAUAUUCGGAGAUCUGGACCAGAGGUCGAUCCCGGCAAGCGUUCGUUGUGGGGACGGACAAGGGGGUGGAUCCUGUCGUGUCUGCCUCAAGCGGCGAAACGUGAGGAAGCGCACUCGCGCUGUCUGCCGCACACGCACCAAAAGGGAAACCCAAGUCUGACGCACCGAUCAACAACAACCCCCGCGGCUCUCGACUCAAGUCUUUUCUGCUCUUUCUUACGUAACGCAAGCCGUGAUCCCUGCAUCCCCCCCAAAAAAAAAACAAUUCAGCGUUGUCCUCGUGCCUUUAAUAAAAAGAUAAAGCAAAUCGUAUCUUAAAAAAAUAAGAGAGAAAUAAAGCCGGCUUGAGCAUGUGCCCCAACUGACAAAAUAA